rnacentral:rRNA from 1 species
UGCCCACUGAUAAAUAAUUAAAGGGCUGCAGUAUAUUGACUGUACAAAGGUAGCAUAAUCAUUAGUCAUUUAAUUGAUGACUUGUAUGAAGGAUUGGAUGAAAUAUAAACUGUCUUAAAUUUAAUCUUUAAAAUUUAAUUUUUUAGUUAAAAAGCUAAAAUUUUAUAAAAAGACGAGAAGACCCUAUAGAGUUUUAUUAAAAUUUAAAAUUGAAAAUUUUUAAAUAAAUAAAUAUAAAUAUUAAUUUUAUUUUUAAUUUUGUUGGGGUGAUAAAAAAAUUAAAAAAACUUUUUGAAUAGUAUUAAACAUAAAUAAGUGAUUUUUUGAUCCAUUAUUAAUGAUUAAAAGAAAUAAUUACCUUAGGGAUAACAGCGUAAUUUUUUUUUUUAGUUCAUAUAAAAAAAAGAGUUUGCGACCUCGAUGUUGGAUUAAGAUAAAAUUUAAAUGUAGAAGUUUAAAGUUUUGA